rnacentral:lncRNA from 10 species
CCAGAGAUGAUCCUGACAACCAUCCCUGCUCCAGGUAAAUUGAUUUAAUGGUCAGGAAUGCAUUUGGUGGCCAGUCUUCCAGGGGGCCCAUGAAAGUUCAGGGUGAGUUGUAUGAUGAUUGUUUUAUAGUAGAAAUAAAUGAUUGAUAAUACCUGCUUUCAACUUCUCCAGGAAAAGGUAAUAUUUUUCAUGCUUUGUAUUGUCCGGCUCUAGGGCUUUAAUGACAAAUUUGUUCGAGUGCCCAAACAGGUCUAAUGCCCUUUCUGAAGGCAGUUUGGUGCUGCUGGAAGGUACAUUGAUAGGACUCCAUUAGGACAAGGGUGUAUCUGACAAAAUAAUGUUCAUAUUGUCCCUGGCACUCUGUGGGUGGAUCUCUGCCAUUUGUUAAGGAGUUUCACCUUUGGUAAUUGCAUACUUACUCAUUCACACUAUAAAUAUUCAUUGACUCCCUUCUAUAUGCUUGGCAUUGUGCUAGGUACUGGGGUUAUGGUAUAGGAAGCAAAACAUGCUUUUGUCUAUUAAAGAA